CUUCUGAUUUCUCAGAAGGACUAGACUAUAUCUUAGAUUCAUUGAAUGAACCCAUUUACAUUUAGUCGUUGAACUGCAUCCUCUAAAGGAUUUGGCUGCGAGCUUGUCUUUAAAUAUUGAAUUAUUACUAUUUAGUAUCAAUAUUAUUAAGAAGUUACCGCAAUUUGAAAAUGUUGCAAUCUUAUUAAAGAUUACUAUUAGAAGGUUUCUAAUAUUGUGGUCCUGGCUAUUUGAACCACCCAU
rnacentral:ncRNA from 1 species